GACGAACGCUGGCGGCGUGCUUAACACAUGCAAGUCGAACGGAAAGGCCCUGCUCUUGUGGGGUGCUCGAGUGGCGAACGGGUGAGUAACACGUGAGUAACCUGCCCUUGACUGUGGGAUAACUUCAGGAAACUGGGGCUAAUACCGGAUAGGAGCUCCUGCUGCAUGGUGGGGGUUGGAAAGUUUCGGCGGUUGGGGAUGGACUCGCGGCUUAUCAGCUUGUUGGUGGGGUAGUGGCUUACCAAGGCUUUGACGGGUAGCCGGCCUGAGAGGGUGACCGGCCACCUUGGGACUACGAUACGGCCCAGACUCCUACGGGACGCAACAGUGGGGAAUAUUGCACAAUGGGCGGAAGCCUGAUGCAGCAACGCCGCGUGCGGGAUGACGGCCUUCGGGUUGUAAACCGCUUUCGCCUGUGACGAAGCGUGAGUGACGGUAAUGGGUAAAAAAGCACCGGCUAACUACGUG
rnacentral:rRNA from 1 species